rnacentral:lncRNA from 1 species
GGGGUUUAAAUCAGGUUAAAAUCAGAUUGACCAAGUUCAAAAUUAAAUUUGAGUCAAAAUCAGAUUUGAGGCAAAGUCACGGUCUUUGAUGUUGGACCAACUUUGCCACUUAGGCAGAAGCGCAACCGUCUCUUACCGUGGCUUCCUCACCGCAGUAUCCCACUGUGGCAUCUCUGCCUAGCACGGCCUCCUCUCCGCGAUGGACGACCUCGCUCCCGUGCCGGCGACGCCGUAUUGUCG